CGGACGGGUGAGUAACGCGUGGGUAACCUGCCCUGUACAGGGGGAUAACAGUUGGAAACGGCUGCUAAAACCGCAUAACAUGGAGAUACCGCAUGAUAUUUCCAUCAAAUAUUUAUAGGUACAGGAUGGGCCCGCGUCUGAUUAGCCAGUUGGCAGGGUAAUGGCCUACCAAAGCGACGAUCAGUAGCCGGCUUGAGAGAGUGACCGGCCACACUGGGACUGAGACACGGCCCAGACUCCUACGGGAGGCAGCAG
rnacentral:rRNA from 1 species